rnacentral:rRNA from 1 species
UACGAGAGGCCCAAACGUUAUUCGGAAUUACUGGGCUUAAAGAGUUCGUAGGCGGCGCAGAAAGUAGGGUGUGAAAGCCCUCGGCUCAACCGAGGAAUUGCGCUCUAAACUACUGUGCUUGAGGGACCUAGAGGUGAGCGGAACUGAUGGUGGAGCGGUGAAAUGCGCUGAUAUCAUCAGGAACACCGGAGGCGAAGGCGGCUCACUGGGGGUCUUCUGACGCUGAGGAACGAAAGCCAGGGGAGCGAACGGG